UACGUAGGGGGCAAGCGUUGUCCGGAAUCAUUGGGCGUAAAGAGCGUGUAGGCGGCCCGAUAAGUCCGCCGUGAAAGUCCAGGGCUCAACCCUGGAAUGCCGGUGGAAACUGUCGGGCUGGAGUCCGGAAGAGGCGAGUGGAAUUCCUGGUGUAGCGGUGAAAUGCGUAGAUAUCGGGAGGAACACCGGCGGCGAAGGCGGCCCUCUGGACGGUGACUGACGCUGAGACGCGAAAGCGUGGGGAGCAAACAGG
rnacentral:rRNA from 1 species